rnacentral:rRNA from 1 species
CUACAUGAAGUCGGAAUUGCUAGUAAUCGCGGAUCAGCAUGCCGCGGUGAAUACGUUCCCGGGCCUUGUACACACCGCCCGUCACACCAUGGGAGUCGGUAACACCCGAAGCCUGUAGUCUAACCGCAAGGAGGACGCAGUCGAAGGUGGGAUUGAUGACUGGGGUGAAGUCGUAACAAGGUAGC